rnacentral:rRNA from 1 species
GAUGAACGCUGGCGGCGUGCCUAAUACAUGCAAGUCGAGCGAACAGAUAAGGAGCUUGCUCCUUUGACGUUAGCGGCGGACGGGUGAGUAACACGUGGGUAACCUACCUAUAAGACUGGAAUAACUCCGGGAAACCGGGGCUAAUGCCGGAUAACAUUUAGAACCGCAUGGUUCUAAAGUGAAAGAUGGUUUUGCUAUCACUUAUAGAUGGACCCGCACCGUAUUAGCUAGUUGGUAAGGUAACGGCUUACCAAGGCAACGAUACGUAGCCGACCUGAGAGGGUGAUCGGCCACACUGGAACUGAGACACGGUCCAGACUCCUACGGGAGGCAGCAGUAGGGAAUCUUCCGCAAUGGGCGAAAGCCUGACGGAGCAACGCCGCGUGAGUGAUGAAGGUCUUCGGAUCGUAAAACUCUGUUAUUAGGGAAGAACAAAUGUGUAAGUAACUGUGCACGUCUUGACGGUACCUAAUCAGAAAGCCACGGCUAACUACGUG